rnacentral:rRNA from 1 species
UACAGAGGUCUCAAGCGUUGUUCGGAUUCAUUGGGCGUAAAGGGUGCGUAGGCGGCGAGGCAAGUCGGAUGUGAAAUCUCAGGGCUCAACCCUGAAACUGCAUUCGAUACUGCUCUGCUCGAGGACUGGAGAGGAGAUUGGAAUUCACGGUGUAGCAGUGAAAUGCGUAGAUAUCGUGAGGAAGACCAGUGGCGAAGGCGGAUCUCUGGACAGUUCCUGACGUGAGGCACGAAGGCCAGGGGAGCAAACGGG